rnacentral:ribozyme from 1 species
GACAAAGAAAUCAAGCCAACAUUGAGGGAUAGUAAAAAAAGGAUACAUAUUGAGCUCCAGCACCGGGUGACUUGUUUUUGUUUUUCUUGGUGUUUUUUUGUUUCGCAUUUAUGUUUUCC